rnacentral:rRNA from 1 species
AGAGUUUGAUCAUGGCUACAGAACGAACGCUGGCGGCAGGCCUAACACAUGCAAGUCGAACGCUCCGCAAGGGGAGUGGCAGACGGGUGAGUAACACGUGGGAACCUUCCCAUCGCUACGGAAUAGCUCAGGGAAACUUGGGGUAAUACCGUAUACGCCCGAAAGGGGAAAGAUUUAUCGGCGAUGGAUGGGCCCGCGGCUGAUUAGCUAGUCGGUGAGGUAACGGCUCACCAAGGCGACGAUCAGUAGCUGGUCUGAGAGGACGACCAGCCACACUGGGACUGAGACACGGCCCAGACUCCUACGGGAGGCAGCAGUGGGGAAUAUUGGACAAUGGGCGCAAGCCUGAUCCAGCCAUGCCGCGUGAGUGACGAAGGUCUUCGGAUUGUAAAGCUCUUUUGGCGGGGACGAUAAUGACGGUACCCGCAGAAUAAGCCCCGGCUAACUUCGUG